rnacentral:rRNA from 1 species
UACGUAGGGUGCAAGCGUUGUCCGGAAUUAUUGGGCGUAAAGAGCUCGUAGGCGGUUUGUCGCGUCUGCUGUGAAAACUCGGGGCUUAACUCCGGGCCUGCAGUGGGUACGGGCAGACUAGAGUGCGGUAGGGGAGACUGGAAUUCCUGGUGUAGCGGUGAAAUGCGCAGGAUAUCAGGAGGGAACACCGGUGGCGAAGGCGGUUCUCUGGGCAUUACCUGACGCUGAGGAGCGAAAGUGUGGGGAGCGAACAGG